rnacentral:rRNA from 1 species
GAUCAUGGCUCAGGACGAACGCUGGCGGCACGCUUAACACAUGCAAGUCGAACGGAGAAUAUCGAAGCUUGCUUUGAUAUUCUUAGUGGCGGACGGGUGAGUAACACGUGAGUAACCUGCCUCUGAGAGUGGGGAUAGCUUCUGGAAACGGAUGGUAAUACCGCAUGAAAUCAUAGUAUCGCAUGGUACAAUAAUCAAAGAUUUAUCGCUCAGAGAUGGACUCG